GACUUUAUAGUUUAUAGAAAAAUAUUAAAUUGCAAAUUUAAAGAUAUACUUUGAGUGUUAAAGUUU
rnacentral:tRNA from 1 species